CGUACGAUACGAGUUUUGAUCAUGGCUCAGAAUCAACGCUGGCGGCGUGCCUCAGACAUGCAAGUCGAACGAUUAAAGCUCUCUUCGGAGAGUGUAUAGAGUGGCGCACGGGUGAGCAACACGUAAGUAAUCUACCCUCGAGUGGGGAAUAACAACCGGAAACGGUUGCUAAUACCGCAUAAUGCAGCGGCACCGCAAGGUGACAGUUGUUAAAGAUUUAUCGCUUGAGGAGGAGCUUGCGGCAGAUUAGCUAGUUGGUAGGGUAACGGCUUACCAAGGCUACGAUCUGUAACCGGUCUAAGAGGACGGUCGGUCACACUGACACUGAAUAACGGGUCAGACUCCUACGGGAGGCAGCAGUCGGGAAUUUUGGGCAAUGGGCGAAAGCCUGACCCAGCAACGCCGCGUGAAGGAUGAAGUAUUUCGGUAUGUAAACUUCGAAAGAAUAGGAAGAAUUAAUGACGGUACUAUUUAUAAGGUCCGGCUAACUACGUG
rnacentral:rRNA from 1 species